rnacentral:rRNA from 1 species
AACGAACGCUGGCGGCAUGCCUAACACAUGCAAGUCGAACGAGACCUUCGGGUCUAGUGGCGCACGGGUGCGUAACGCGUGGGAACCUGCCCUUAGGUUCGGAAUAACUCCCCGAAAGGGGUGCUAAUACCGGAUAAUGUCUUCGGACCAAAGAUUUAUCGCCUUUGGAUGGGCCCGCGUUGGAUUAGCUAGUUGGUAGGGUAAAAGCCUACCAAGGCGACGAUCCAUAGCUGGUCUGAGAGGAUGAUCAGCCACACUGGGAAUGAGACACGGCCCAGAAUCCUACGGGAGGAAGCAGUGGGGAAUAUUGGACCAUGGGAGAAAGCCUGAUCCAGCAAUGCCGCGUGAGUGAUGAAGGCCUUAGGGUUGUAAAGCUCUUUUACCCGGGAUGAUAAUGACAGUACCGGGAGAAUAAGCGCCGGCUAACUCCGUG